rnacentral:rRNA from 1 species
GACGAACGCUGGCGGCGUGCUUAACACAUGCAAGUCGAACGGUGAAGCGCCUUCCUUUUUGGUGGGUGUGGAUGAGUGGCGAACGGGUGAGUAACACGUGAGUAACCUGCCCCCUUCUUCGGAAUAACCCCAUGAAAGGUUGGCUAAUCCGGGUAAUUCUGGGUCUUUGCCAUGAUGGGUCGGGGAAGGAUAUUGUUUCGGUGGGGGAUGGGCUCGCGGCCUAUCAGCUUGUUGUUGGGGUGAUGGCCUACAAAGGCGGUGACGGGUAGCCGGCCUGAGAGGGUGGACGGUCACACUGGGACUGAGACACGGCCCAGACUCCUACGGGAGGCAGCAGUGGGGAAUAUUGCACAAUGGGCGCAAGCCUGAUGCAGCGACGCCGCGUGAGGGAUGGAGGCCUUCGGGUUGUGAACCUCUUUCGCCAGUGAAGCAGGCCUGCCUCGUUUGUGGGUGGGUUGACGGUAGCUGGAUAAGAAGCGCCGGCUAACUACGUG